UGGUGCCAGCAGCCGCGGUAAUUCCAGCUCCAAUAGCGUAUAUUAAAGUUGUUGCAGUUAAAAAGCUCGUAGUUGAAUUUCGGGGUCAGCAGGUUGGUCGUGCCUAUGGUAUGAACUGGCUUCGCUGGUCUCUCCUUUCUGAAGAACUGUAAUGCCAUUAAUUUGGUGUUGCAGGGACACAGGACUGUUACUUUGAAAAAAUUAGAGUGUUUAAAGCAGGCUAACGCUUGAAUACAUUAGCAUGGAAUAAUGAAAUAGGACGUUCGAACCUAUUUUGUUGGUUUCUAGGAUUGACGUAAUGAUUAAUAGGGAUAGUUGGGGGCAUUAGUAUUCAAUUGUCAGAGGUGAAAUUCUUGGAUUUAUUGAAGACUGACUACUGCGAAAGCAUUUGCCAAGGAUGUUUUCAUUAAUCAAGAACGAAAGUUAGGGGAUCGAAGACGAUCAGAUACCGUCGUAGUCUUAACCAUAAACUAUGCCGACUAGGGAUCGGAUGAUGUUAAUUUUUUAAUGACUCAUUCGGCGCC
rnacentral:rRNA from 1 species